AGCCAUUUUGGCUCAAGGUACAAGUUGGGCUGUUGCGGUCACGCAGGCCUUUUUUAAUCGCUCUAUAGCCAACUCUGAAUCCGAAGUCAUUCUGCAUGGCGCAAGUGCAUGCAUGUUGACCUCCUAGGGAUAAGUUGGGAAGCAUAUUUCCUACUCUGCGUCAUCGCCAAAGUAGGGUAUUGUUGUGAUGCUUGUCGACGCUUUCGUUAUCUUCACUCUGUCGUAAGCAUGUGAGCGCUUUCUCAAACCAGACAUUUCGAACGUCGUCUCUCGCAAGGCUUUCUAGUUGACAAAGUUCACCGACUUGCGAAGAUUUCGAGACAUGUUUGAUCUUUCUUUCAACAUUCUUCCUCACCGUAGCCAUUUUGGCUCAAGGUACAAGUUGGGCUGUUGCGGUCACGCAGGCCUUUUUUAAUCGCUCUAUAGCCAACUCUGAAUCCGAAGUCAUUCUGCAUGGCGCAAGUGCAUGCAUGUUGACCUCCUAGGAAUAAAUUGGAAAGCAUAUUUCCUACUCUCCGUCAUCGCCAAAGUAGGGUAUUGUUGUGAUGCUUGUCGACGCUUUCGUUAUCUUCACCCUGUCGUAAGCAUGGGAGCGCUUUCUCAAACCAGACAUGUCGAACGUCGCCUCUCGCAAGGCUUUCUAGUUGACAAUGUUCGCCGACGUGUGAAGAUUUCGAAACAUGUUUGAUCUUUCAACAUUCUUCCUCACCGUAGCCAUUUUGGCU
rnacentral:misc_RNA from 1 species